CCCCUCGCAGGAUGGCACCUGGAGAGUUUCCAGUCCUCUACCAAUCUCGGCUACGGGAGGGAGAGUCGUCAAGCAGAGACCUGUCCAUUCCAUUCCUAUCUUGGCCAGUGGCUAGUGAGUGGAAGGCAAUCUGCAACAAGA